GCUCCUAAAGCAUGGAUUCUUGCUAAAUUUUUGCUGAAAAAUUCUUAGAAAAAUCUGAUUACAAAUCGUCAGUUUUUCCAUACUUUGUUCUUGGUUUUUCCAACACCGUAUGCCACCGCCGAUCACCGGAAAGGAACUCCGGCCACAUCACCAUGGCCCCAGUCACCGUCAGCCAUAGCCUCGGCUGACGGUAGGUCCCCUG
rnacentral:lncRNA from 1 species